UGAAGAGGGGAGAAGACUUGUGUCCGAUCCUGGACUGGGAGCUGAUGUCCCCAGUCGGGUUUUGCGGAGCGGUGCCAAGUUGUCGCAAUGACCCCAGAAGCCAGCUGUUGGGUGGUAUCACGGGGUGGCCUCGCUGACCGUGCCUCCUUUCCCUACGCACUAAGUCUGUCCUGUGUGCUCUACUCAAUAAGCUUCACAUAAACUGAGCAGCAGCCUGUCCGUUUAACAAGAAAAGCUCGAGUAGUCAGUAUCUGAGCUGAGAAAUGCAGAGUACUUAGGAACAUUUUCUUAUUACGCUGUAGUGGGGGGUUAAUAGCACCGCUGAAUCCAGCCCGUUGUUGGCAUUGCAAACUCGCCUGGGGAGAGGAGGCUCGUCGCACGGCUGCGUGCGGAGGGAGGGCUGGAGAGCUUUUCCAGCAUCACUUCUAUAUUUAGACAAAGGCCUUUUUGCUUAGUUUUAUCACCGUGUGGGUACGGAUCAUGUUAAUAUCAAGUUACAUGUGCAUAUGGAUAGGAGAGCAUGCACUCAAAGCUGGCUUUCUGUUCAGCUCCAGGGGCAAAGCCACAUCUCUGAGCACUUACAGAAAAGGAAACCAGAGCUCCUAAACUCACCUGGGGGAGACGGUGUUUGCAGUUAUAUACAGGAUCAUUUGGCUCAGGAGCAAUUCUACCUUCGAGUGACAAUUUGAGGUGACAUUUCAGAUACUGUGGAAGAAAAAUCGCUUUCCUGGAUAAAAAAAAAAAAAAGAAUGCUAUAUAAAAGCAAGGUAUACAUGCAUAGUAUCAGCAUUAGUCAAAUGAAAUUAAUGCUUCCAAUAUGUUUCAAAGCUUACUUAUAUGCAUCAACCAUUUAUGAAACUGUAGCUCAUCAAGUAGGAAUAUUGUAGUUAUAUAUUAGCAAACUGUCUGCUGGCCUUUCUGAUACCUUAUUGCUCUAUGCACUAGGGUAGCAUUUUUAGGGUAAAGUUAACCUCGGUGAAAUAUAUCACGGUUCGCUAAUGUAUCCUCAACUGCCUGAUAAAAGGCCUUGCCCCCAACAACAUAUGAAUAUUUAAAUUAUUGUUAAUUAUUUAUAGUAUAUUUUUAUUAACACUGACUUGCAGCAUGGCCAAAUAGCAGAUCAAGCUCAUUAUGUUCCAGUGUUGAACAUGCAAAAACAUGCAUCUCCCCAAACCUUACUGCUGCUGAGUAGAAGAUAAUGCUGACACUUCCCUGGUCUCACUGUUUGCUUUCUGUGAGAGUGAAUCUGGAAGAAGCUCUCUGGAAUCAGGCACUUGUUGACGUGAUCGUUUUGGAGAGAGAUUCUGAUAUUUGGGUGCGUUUUAAACUAAAAAUUACCAUUUCUAAUAGGAGCAUGUGGAAAACUCUCUCCCUCAUUUCAUGGCACUUAGAACAUAGCUCCUUUCUGUAAUUUGUGCGGGCAGGCAGAUGUGUUGAAGUACAGCAUCUCAGCACCUGACUGGGGACAAUUAAAACAAAAACAGGAAACUGUAUGUCUGUUUUUUACCAUUAAAGCCCCAAGUGAUGCAUCUUACAACCCCCUCAUCAGAGCACCUAGUCCACAGCCUCAAGUUUUUCAUUAAAUUUAACCUAGGAUACCCUGGUUUCAUUUUAUCUCUUCUUUCAUGGUGUGAAAAUUCAUUUCUCCUCCUUGAUAAUCAGAUACGUCCUUUAU